rnacentral:rRNA from 1 species
UGGGGAAUUUUGGACAAUGGGGGCAACCCUGAUCCAGCAAUGCCGCGUGAGUGAAGAAGGCCCUCGGGUUGUAAAGCUCUUUUGUCAGGGAAGAAAAGGCUGUGGCUAAUAUCCACAGCUGCUGACGGUACCUGAAGAAUAAGCACCGGCUAACUACGUGCCAGCAGCCGCGGUAAUACGUAGGGUGCAAGCGUUAAUCGGAAUUACUGGGCGUAAAGCGUGCGCAGGCGGUUUUAUAAGUCUGAUGUGAAAUCCCCGGGCUCAACCUGGGAACUGCAUUGGAGACUGUAAGGCUAGAGUGUGUCAGAGGGGGGUAGAAUUCCACGUGUAGCAGUGAAGUGCGUAGAUAUGUGGAGGAAUACCGAUGGCGAAGGCAGCCCCCUGGGAUAACACUGACGCUCAUGCACGAAAGCGUGGGGAGCAAACAGGAUUAGAUACCCUGGUAGUCCACGCCCUAAACGAUGUCAACUAGUUGUCGGGUCUUAACUGACUUGGUAACGCAGCUAACGCGUGAAGUUGACCGCCUGGGGAGUACGGUCGCAAGAUUA